UUGCUUCUGAAGACAUGGAUUCCCUUACUUUUGGAGCUCCUAAAUUUCUUCGCCAUUUAAUGGAUCCCAGCUCAAGAAAAGUUCCAGUCAUGGAAUUUGAAAUUUCCAAGAUCUUGGAGGAGAUGAAUCUGGAUAUGGAUCAAUUCAUUGACCUGUGCAUUCUGUCUGGAUGUGAUUAUUGUGAAAGCAUUCGAGGUAGACGUGAUAUUGUUGCCGUGCUCUAUUAACUGUUUUAUGCUCUCA